rnacentral:rRNA from 1 species
AGGACGAACGCUGGCGGCGUGCUUAACACAUGCAAGUCGAGCGGUAAGGCCUUUCGGGGUACACGAGCGGCGAACGGGUGAGUAACACGUGGGUGAUCUGCCCUGCACUCUGGGAUAAGCCUGGGAAACUGGGUCUAAUACCGGAUAUGACCUGCUCUCGCAUGGGGGGUGGGUGGAAAGAUUUAUCGGUGCAGGAUGGGCCCGCGGCCUAUCAGCUUGUUGGUGGGUAAUGGCCUACCAAGGCGACG